rnacentral:rRNA from 1 species
UACGGGGGGAGCAAGCGUUGUUCGGAUUUACUGGGCGUAAAGGGCGCGUAGGCGGCCAGCGCAAGUCAGUUGUGAAAUCUCCGGGCUUAACUCGGAACGGUCAACUGAUACUGCGCGGCUAGAGUGCAGAAGGGGCAACUGGAAUUCUCGGUGUAGCGGUGAAAUGCGUAGAUAUCGAGAGGAACACCUGCGGCGAAGGCGGCGACCUGGACAAGUACUGACACUCAACUACGAAAGCGUGGGGAGCAAACAGG